UACGUAGGGGGCUAGCGUUGUCCGGAAUCAUUGGGCGUAAAGAGCGUGUAGGCGGCCCGGUAAGUCCGCUGUGAAAGUCGGGGGCUCAACCCUCGGAUGCCGGUGGAUACUGUCGGGCUCGAGUACGGAAGAGGCGAGUGGAAUUCCUGGUGUAGCGGUGAAAUGCGCAGAUAUCAGGAGGAACACCUAUUGCGAAGGCAGCUCGCUGGGACGUUACUAACGCUGAGACGCGAAAGCGUGGGGAGCAAACAGG
rnacentral:rRNA from 1 species